GUAGGGAAUAUUGCGCAAUGGACGAAAGUCUGACGCAGCGACGCCGCGUGAGUGAUGAAGGCCUUAGGGUCGUAAAGCUCUGUUGAAUGGGAAGAAAAAAAUGACGGUACCAUUCGAGGAAGGACCGGCUAACUUCGUGCCAGCAGCCGCGGUAAUACGAGGGGUCCUAGCGUUGUUCGGAAUCAUUGGGCGUAAAGGGUGUGUAGGUGGCCAUGUAAGUCAGGUGUGAAAGCCCCGGGCUCAACCCGGGAAGUGCACUGGAUACUGCGUGGCUUGAGUACCGAAGAGGGUAGUGGAAUUCCAGGUGUAGUGGUGAAAUACGUAGAUAUCUGGAGGAACACCGGUGGCGAAGGCGGCUACCUGGUCGAGUACUGACACUGAGACACGAAAGCAUGGGGAUCAAACAGGAUUAGAAACCCGGGUAGUCC
rnacentral:rRNA from 1 species